rnacentral:tRNA from 1 species
GCCUAGGUAGCUCAGCUGGUAGAGCAAUGGACUGAAAAUCCAUGUGUCGCUGGUUCGACUCCGGCCCUAGGCACCA